ensembl:lncRNA
CAUCAUUUACAGUCAGUUUACAGUCCCUCUUCAGCACUGGGUAUGUACUUCAGUAAAUUAUUCCACAUCACUGAUUUAUAAACGGCUGCUGAGGUAGUAUUCUCAAGUGAAGCGAGUUGAACACUUAACAACAGAAUAAGACCAGUGCAUUAGUUUGUAACUCACUUUAUUUUAUAUAGUGUUUUUGUUGCUGUUGCUGCUAACUCAACAUAUUUCUUCAUCUCAUUAACAUCAUCAUCUCCAGGUCACACUGAACAGCAGAUUGUUGUCUCAAGCCAGUGCUGAUCAAUAACAGUUUAGCUGCAGUAUGUCAGAGAAGAGAGGAAAGAUGAGUCUCUCACAGAAACAGAGUGUAAGAUCAGGAUCACAUGUGUCCAGCUCUGUGUCUGUGAAGAGUGACUGGUCAAAAGAUGGUGUGCCACCGAACUUAAGUGAGAAAAAAGCAUCAUCUACCAAAAGAGUUCAAUAUGAGACAUUAGAUUCAGACGUCCAGACUCACAGGAACUACAAGAAUUUCAAAAACAAUCUCCUGCAGACCUUCCAGGAUCUUGAAAGCAAAAUUAUCAC